rnacentral:rRNA from 2 species
GACGAACGCUGGCGGCGUGCCUAAUACAUGCAAGUCGAGCGGACUGAUUAAAAGCUUGCUUUUAUGAAGUCAGCGGCGGACGGGUGAGUAACACGUGGGCAACCUGCCUGUAAGACUGGGAUAACUUCGGGAAACCGGAGCUAAUACCGGAUAAUACAAGGAACCUCCUGGUUCCUUGUUGAAAGAUGGUUUCGGCUAUCACUUACAGAUGGGCCCGCGGCGCAUUAGCUAGUUGGUGAGGUAACGGCUCACCAAGGCGACGAUGCGUAGCCGACCUGAGAGGGUGAUCGGCCACACUGGGACUGAGACACGGCCCAGACUCCUACGGGAGGCAGCAGUAGGGAAUCUUCCACAAUGGACGAAAGUCUGAUGGAGCAACGCCGCGUGAGCGAUGAAGGCCUUCGGGUCGUAAAGCUCUGUUGUUAGGGAAGAACAAGUGCGAGAGUAACUGCUCGCACCUUGACGGUACCUAACCAGAAAGCCACGGCUAACUACGUGCCAGCAGCCGCGGUAAUACGUAGGUGGCAAGCGUUGUCCGGAAUUAUUGGGCGUAAAGCGCGCGCAGGCGGUUUCUUAAGUCUGAUGUGAAAGCCCACGGCUCAACCGUGGAGGGUCAUUGGAAACUGGGGAACUUGAGUGCAGAAGAGGAGAGUGGAAUUCCACGUGUAGCGGUGAAAUGCGUAGAGAUGUGGAGGAACACCAGUGGCGAAGGCGACUCUCUGGUCUGUAACUGACGCUGAGGCGCGAAAGCGUGGGGAGCAAACAGGAUUAGAUACCCUGGUAGUCCACGCCGUAAACGAUGAGUGCUAAGUGUUAGAGGGUUUCCGCCCUUUAGUGCUGCAGCUAACGCAUUAAGCACUCCGCCU